rnacentral:rRNA from 1 species
CCUACGGGAGGCAGCAGUGGGGAAUAUUGCACAAUGGGCGCAAGCCUGAUGCAGCCAUGCCGCGUGUGUGAUGAAGGCCUUAGGGUUGUAAAACACUUUCAUCGGUGAAGAUAAUGACGGUAGCCGAAGAAGAAGCCCCGGCUAACUCCGUGCCAGCAGCCGCGGUAAU